rnacentral:lncRNA from 1 species
CAUGAUUUGAGGCUUCCCCAGCCAUGUGGAACUAGAGGACAAAGGAGCACAUGCUCAAAAAGAAGUAGAUUGGGAGUGCCUGCGGACCCAGAGACUGACCAUCAAAGAAGACAGGAAAGUUAAGGCUCAGAGUGGCCAAGUGACUUCCUCAUGACAUUUCAGCAUUGACUUGUGGCCUCCCAAUCACAAACCUGGACCCUGUGAAUACCAAAAUCUGGGGAUACUCAAGUCCCUUAUAUAAAAUGGUAUAAUGGUGCAUAGCCCAUGCACAUAAUCUCUAGAUUACUUAUAAUAUCUAAUACAAUGUAAGUGGUAUGUAAAUAGUAGUUAUACUUUAUUGAUUUUUAUUUGUAUUUUUAGCUGUUGUAUUGUUAUUGUUUUUUAUUCCCAAAUAUUUCCCAUCUGCCAUUGGUUGAAUACAGGAUGCAGAACUGGAGGAUAUGAAGGGCUGAGUGUAGUUAGUAAAUUCAUAGAUAAGGAUCUUUCUUAUCAGAAUCAAAUAAAUGCAAAUUAAAAAACAAAAAUGUAAUGUCUUAGCUACUGAAUUUAUUUUCCCUAAAAUUAACAAUACCUAAUACUAGAAGCAGCAUCUUCAAAACUGGUUGUUGGUCUAGGAGACUGUGGUUAAAUUUCUUUUUUAGUCUUGAAGGCUUCAUAAUGCCCACAAUAUAUUUAUUUUCUCUCGUCUUUGGGAAAAGAAAAUCUGUGACUUUUCCUAUUAUUCUGAAGUAACUCCCACAAAGACUUCAAUGCACCUUCCUCAGAAAGACAAAUUUUGCAUCAUUGCAACAAUAAGUAUUUAUACUUUGUAAGGCUUGCAAACUUCCAUUGAGAAAGCAUUGCUCAAAAUAUUUGCCAGUUUGCGGUUUAAUGACACCUCAAGUGACAUUAUGUCUUUGCUGUCACUCACAUUUCCUAGAAGAAUUUUUAAGGGAUGGAAAGAAAUCCUCCAGGUUGUAAUAGAACCCCAGUUUUGAGGGGUUUAUUAUUUUGGACCUACAAAAUAAUUAUAAUCAGACAGCUUAAAUCAGUGUGGUAAUAUUUGCGUGCUGUACUGUAAUACUGUUUUGCAUAAAGAAUAAAGGGACAAUGAAAUAACACUUUGAUUGUUUUUUCUAAUACUUGAAAUUUUAAAAUAUUUGCUUCAUUGUGUAUUUUUCAAAAUGCAGACAUUAGGCCUGGCUUAAACAGUGAUCCUGUUUUGGUAGGCAUUCAAUAAUAUUGCACGUGGCACCAUCCUUUGGAAAAUUGUUUUAUGUAUCAAUAACUUAAAAAUAUUAUGGGCUAGGUGUAGUGGCUCACGCCUGUAAU